CCGCCCGCCGCCGCGCACUUUCGGUUUUCCUUCCCCGCUGACCCUGGGCGGAGGGAGGAGCCGGGCGGGCGGCCCGGAGGAGGAGGAAGUGGAGGAGGCGGAGGCAGCGGGGACUUGGGGCGCGAGGGGCCGGGCCCUGGCACGGCCGGCGUCCCCGCCCUCGGGGAGAGCGAAAGAGUUAGCGUCGCUUCAGCUCCCCCGCGCGGCGGGGCCGGCGGGCUCGGGCGGGCUCGGCUGAAGGGAGGGGACUGCGGGGGGCGGGUGAGCAGCGCCCAAGGCCGUCGCAGGCCUCAGCCACCCCCAGAGGCGGGGGCACGCGGUGAGCAGCUUGGUGCGUGUGAAGCGCGACAUGGCGGCGAGGCCGAGGAGACCGAGCGGCCCAGAGAGUACGGGGAGGAGGGCGGGGCCAGGCUCGGCUCCGACGACCAUUGGAGCGCCUCGUGCUGGGCGGGCCAGAAACUACAUUUCCCAGGGAUCAUAGCGGGCAAAGCCCGGAAAGGGAGGGCCUCAGGCCCAGUGCGCACGCUCUUCAGUAGCCUGUGCCUAUAUAAGGGAGGUUCAGGCUCUUCGUCGUUCUUUCUGUCUGCGGCGCUUUCCGAGUGUGGUGUCCUUGUUGUUGUUUCAAGGGUCACGCUUCCUGCCUCGUGAACCACGUUUUGUGUACGGUUAUCGUGGUUAGGGAGUACAGAAUGGAUGUGGGAGAACAGAGUCACCUCUGGGCCUGCGAUAGAACCCUAUUUAGACAUCGCCAACCUUGGAUCUCCUGAUCUACAGGGUUUGCUGAUGGCAUAAACCAGCCUUUGAAUGGAGCAGGAUGGUUUCUGAGCAUGGGAAAGGAUUGGUCCCGAGCCCUUGAGGCUGCAAUUUGUUGUCAACCUGAGCAUUGGUUUGUUUAGUCCUAUAACAGAAGUUUCUCAGCUACGGAGUUUGGGAGUACAAGGUCUUCCGAAAAAUCAGUCCGGUGUUCCUGAGGCAGGCCCACAAGCUUUUUAUUUAACUUUUGGUACCAAGAAUUGAACUCAGGACCUCACCCUUACCUGCCAGGAAGGUGCCAUGCCACUGAGCUAUACCCCCGGCACCCCACAAGGCUUUUGUGUACUUGACCUGGCUCUCCAGAGUACUGUGCCUGUUUCUUUGACGACUCAAGAUUUUAAUUCCUAACUUGGUAACAGCUUUCCUACCUGGGAAAAGAAAAUAAAAUUCUUGAAAUCAGAA